rnacentral:lncRNA from 10 species
UCUCAAACUCCUGACCUCAUGUGAUCCCUCCGCCUCAGCCUCCCAAAGUGCUGGGAUUAUAGGCAUGAGUCAUCGCACCCAACACUGUCUUUAUUUAAUAUUACUAUUUUUUUUGUGAUGACACUUAACAUAAGAUCUACCCUCAUAAAAAAAAUUUUAGUAUACAAUACAGUAUUGUUAACUAUAAACACUGUGCUAUAGAGUCGAUGUCUAGGUCUCAGGCAUCUUGCAUAGCUGAAACUUUGUGCCCCUUGACAUUCUCCCCAACCCCUGACAACCACCAUUUCCUGCUCUGCUUCUGUAAGUUUGACUAUUUUCGAUUCCUCACAUAAGUGGCAUCAGUUAUUAUUUGUUUUCUGGCUCUCAAUUAUUUCACUUGAUGAAUGUACUCCAGGUUCAUUCAUGUUACUGAAAACGGCAGAAUUCCUCUCCUGUCCCCUGCCCUCACCAUUGAGGACCUAAAGGAUAAUGAAAGGGGGGAAUCUGUGCCCUAAAUAAUCCCUUUUGGCAGUUACUUUCUGUUUUCAAAGUUCAGCUCUCCCUCUCCCUCUCCCUCUCCCUCUCCCUCUCCCUCUCUCUCUCCCUCUCUCUCCACGGUCUCCCUCUCCCUCUCCCUCUCUCUCCACGGUCUCCCUCUCCCUCUCGCUCUCUCUCCACGGUCUCCCUCUCCCUCUCCCUCUCUCUCCACGGUCUCCCUCUCCCUCUCCCUCUCUCUCCACGGUCUCCUUCUGUUGCCGAGCCAAGGCUGGACUGUACUGCCGCCAUCUCCGCUCACUGCAACCUCCCUGCCUGAUUCUCCUGCCUCAGCCUGCCUGGGAUUGCAGGCGCGCGCCGCCAUGCCUGACUGGUUUUUGCUGGAGUGCAGUGGCGUGAUCUCGGCUCGCUACAACCUCCACCUCCCAGCCGCCUGCCUUGGCCUCCCAAAGUGCUGAGAUUGCAGCUUCUGCCCGGCUGCCACCCCAUCUGGGAAGUGAGGAGCGUCUCUGCCUGGCCGCCUAUCGUCUGGGAAGUGAGGAGCGCCUCUUCCCGGCCGCCAUCCCGUCUGGGAAGUGACCAGCGUCUCUGCCCGGCCGCCCAUCGUCUGAGAUGUGGGGAGCGCCUCUGCCCCGCCGCCCCGUCUGGGAUGUGAGGAGCGCCUCUGCCCGGUCGCGACCCCGUCUGGGAACUGAGGAGUGUCUCUGCCCGACCGUCACCCCGUCUGGGAGAAAUUCGACAGGGAAGAAAAGCAAGUCACCAGGGACUGUAUCCUUGAUUAGUGGCUGCGAUCCUGCAACACACUUCAUCCUGCCCAAUCCCCAUCGAUGUUGGCAUUUUCCUACUCAAUUGAUGUCCUCAUAUUUUCCCUGCUCCAUCUACACACCAUAUAUUUCCUCAGGUGCUACAAACAAGUUCCAAACUUUAUUGGACAGGGGAAGAAGUAGAAGAAACAAGAAGUAUUAUUAAAAUGAAUGGAGUUAAAAUGGGACAGAGGUGAGAAGAAGGAGCUAGAAAACUUUAAAUAAAAUGCACCUACAGCUAAGGAAAUAGACAAGCCUUUCUGAUGGCUCUCAUGGCUCUGCGUUUACAUACUACAGAUUCCUCCUGGAUGAAACAGAAGCCGGGCUGCUGAUGCAGCUGGAGGAGGAAGCGAGAGGUUCCAACGGCAUGACUCCUUGGCAUUUCACACAUCCAUAGAAAUAACCCAUCUAUGAUUUCCACAAGACAAUUUUUUCUUAGUCCCCACUUUUCAGUGUAUGCUCAAACACAAUGCAGAAUCCCAAGAAACUGUGAAACUUUUCUGAGAAAAUGUUCUGAUUUGAAUUAGUUAGCUGUAUUCUGCAUUCAGCACAUUUACAAGCUUUGAAAUAUCGGACAUUGGCAAGCAAGCACUAACAUUUUAUAAGUAGCAGUUUGCAUCCAGGUUUGAGGUAAUGUAAUCCAACAUGCACGAGAACACAGUCUAGGUCCCCUUCUCCCUUCUAAGCAUAGCAGAAGGAUUAGGAAUAAUGAAUGGUGUGAAUUUUGCCACCUAGAGGGUUUCAUUUUGAUACCUGUUACACAGUCCUCUUGAGCACUGUGCUCAUUUUUCCUAUUGCUGAGAUAUGGAAAAUAAAACAGUAAUAGGAACGUGCACUGACAACACACCAUGUCAAUGCCCUAAAACGCAAAGUCUUGGAGAGGGUUCCAUAAUGGCUUCAGUAGAAGCAUAGCUCAUUCCCUGCUUUGCUAAUCAAUUUUCUGCAUGCCAUGUUCUCCCCGUUAUACCUCAUCCCUUAGGCUACUCUUGUAGCCCAAGUCAACCACACAGGUGAUAUACACCGGUGGAAUAGGUCAGGGCAAUUUCUUGAGGCACUGGAGGGGGAAAACCUGGGGUCUCUCCUCAGCCCUCCAAUGUGUCCAUAAUGCUCCUCAUGUGCCACAGGCUCCGUGCCACCAUGGAAUUUGAUCUGGAAGUCUAGAGCCCUUUUCAGGGAGUUGUUUAAGCCUUUAGUCCUUGUUUCUUCACUCUUAGUGUAAUUCUGUGUCAUUUUAGAGCCAGAAACACUGUUGUAACAGUCAAAUGUAGUAAUUAAGACUGUAGUAUCAGAUCACUGGCUUUUCAAUCUUUUUCUAAAAGGCUCUAUGAUCUCAGGCAAAUUUACUGAACUCUUCUUGCUGUAAUAUGGGGAGACAGUGGCCCUCACUUCAUAGAUUGUAGUGAGAUUAAAUAAGUUAAUAUAUGUAAAGCUUUAAUAAAGUACUUAGCAAAUAGUAUAUACAGUACUAUGCAAGUUUUAGCUAUAAAAUGACAAUAACAUUUCACAUAAAAAGGUUACUAUUAAUUGUUACUACCAUUUCCUAAUUAUUGAUUUAUGUAAUAAGCUAUGCCCCAAACCUACCAGGUUUAACUCUUGGUAUUCAGUGUGAACUGAAUUAUAUUCCCCUCAAAUUCAUUUAUUGAAACACUAAUGUGCUGGCAUUAGAAGGCAAGGCAUUUGGGAGGUAAUUAGGUCAUGAAGGUAGAAUCCUCAUGAUGGGAUUAAUGCCCUUAUUAGAACAGACUGAAGAGAAAUUUUACUCUGCCAUGAGAGACACAUAAAAAAAAAAAAAAAAGAUGAAGUCUACAAGCCAGGAAGCAAGCUCCCACCAAGAACUGAAUCAGCCAGCACCUUGUUCUUGAAUUUCCCAGCCUCCAGAACUGUGAGAAAUAAAUAUUAGUAGUUCAAGUCACCCAGACGGUGAUAUUUUUUGAUAUUUUGUGACAGCAGCCCAUACAAACCAAGGCUAUCUUCAAGCAAACAAUUUAGAAGUUCACAAUUUUUUUUCUGUCAAAUAUGUGGUGUUCGCAAAUUGAAAGCAUCUUGGAUUUCAGGUUAGUAUCCCUAGUACAUAUUUUAAAACUUAUUUAGAGAUUCAAUUGACUUAUUUUAUUUGAGUCUAUGUCCACCUUUCUCCUGAGGCAGAGAAUGCCUCUGCCACAGGUCUCAAAAUCCUCUGGUUAACACAAAAAUUACAGAAAAUGCAAAAUUCCAGCCUAGGAAUUAAACACUCUCAUGUGUAAAUUUGUGUAAUGUAGAAGUUUAAUAGCAAAGAAAGAGAAAUUGUUAUACCUAUCAAUCAAGCAGGAGCUUCUCCUUAAAAUCUUUCAACAUGAAUCACAUGGCUUAGCAGGGGUAAAAUAUUUUAGGAGCCUCCUCCUAGAGGAUCUCACUCAAUCUUACUCCCUUGUAGAACAGGCGAUAUCUUCACCAUGCGCACAAUGAAAUCAAUACUCAGAGAAGGCAGAUAAUUCUCCACGAAGCCAGAAAACUAAUAAAUGAACAGUAAGUAACAACACAAUCAAAUACCCUCUUCAUAUAGAUCACUCAUUUUAGAAUUUUGAAAUUGAAUCAUGCACUGUGUAACUGUGCAGUGGAAUGCUUUCUUUUUGUUUUUUUUUCUUGAUUCUCAAUAUAAGAAGCUUAUAAAUUUGUCUUUUUAAUGGUUGGGAUCAUAUCUAAUAAAUUUAAUGGUUGGGAUCAUAUCUAAUGAAUUGGCUGUACUAAUGUGGAAGCUCUGUAGACUCAAUAAUGAUUGAUCUGUUUUCCUCCGCUCUAUGAACUGCUGCCCAGAGGGUGCUCAUGGCAUUAUCCACAUGCAUCCCUGUGCAUCUAAAUUCCUGAAGGAAUGUGUAUUCUAAGGCAAAAUUCAUAAUGGUAAUGUUGAAGAAAUAAAAAGUAGCAUAUAAAAACUCUGAGUAUAAUUAUUUAAAAAAUUUUAUUAGUUCAGGUCAAAAAUUUCAGGAAUAAGGUCAUAUUAAAACUUUGCAUGGAAAAAUUAACUUUAAUUUGUACUAAGCCUUAGAGUUAAGUUUUAAUAAUUUCUAUAAGGAAGAGCAGAACGAACCAAGAUGAAAGUAUCGUUUAUGUGCUAGCACGUUUUUGUUAUCCCAAAAUAAUUAGCAGAAGUAGAUAAAUUAGUUUAAGCUUUUACAGAUCACUGUUCUAACAUAAAGAUGUACACCUGACUCAUAUAGAAAUAAGGGAUUCACUUUGUUCAGCUUUCUGGCAAUGGGGGUUGGUGGGAGGCCCAAUUUACAUUGUGGAAGACGAGUAGCUUUAAAAAAGAAAAGUCAGGAAAUGUCCAAACUUAAUAGAUACUAUGGUAAUGAGUAUAAAGCACAGCAGAGGGAAGAUAAUAAUAAACGUGUAAUUGGCAUCUGUGAAGAGAACAUUAUGACAUUUUAUUACUGGAAAAUUGCAUACCAAAAUCUCUAGAAACAUUGGCCAUCACAUCUUUGAAAACCACAAGCAAGUAUAUUUCAUAUGUGAAUAAAUCCAUAUACUCAGAACCACAGUUUUAUGGUACUUAAGAUGGAUCUUUUGAUAUUGUAAUGAUGAAAUAGGUCUCUCGAGGAAAGAUGAAAAGGUAAAGCCAAGGCUUGUUUAAAAGAUCAAAAAGAGAGAUGCUGUGAAUGCUCUCAGCAAAUAUGAUGCUCUCUUUAUCUGGAUGCAUUCCUGUUCUAAAGAUAAAUGGAUAUUUCUCAAUAAAAAUAUAGAAUCUUAACAUUUUUGAAGUGUUGAGGAAAAACAAAGUGACAACAAAGUAAAGAUAUCUGAAGAUAACAACAGUUCCUUGAUUUCUUAAACAGUGCAAAGAAGUUAAAGUAGAAGGAAGUUAGGCCUUUGCACAUUUAAAUUUCAUCAGGGCAUCUUAUAAAACUUUGGCAAUUUUAUUAGAUCUUGGAUUCCUCACCUAAAAAUAUUAAUGUAUGUACUAAACUAACUUUAAGUUCUCUUCAUGCUCUUUAUUAUAAAAAUAUAGUACAUUAACUUGGAGUACAUCUUAGGGACAUCUUGAAAACCAUAUUUUAAAAAAUAAUCUCUAAUGGAGAAAGAAAGGUGUCUCUCUCUGACAAUACAGGUGAAAUUUGUAAGCUACUUUAGGCAAGUUCCUUCCUCACUUUUCCAAAGGAAUGCAUUUUGAUUUUACAAAAUGCUGUAUAAUCUUAAAAUAUUUUCAUAGAUAUUUCCUAUAUGAAUAGAAUAUUUUUUCCAAUAAAAAUGUGAAGGAAAUGGUGAACCACAGCUAUCAAUUUCUCUCUGAAUACUAUCUUUUAAUUAUACCUUGCUUUCAGCUCCUCCUUAGUAAGACAGAUGUGAACUUAUUAAGCUGGAAACUGAUCCCGAAGUAUAAACUAAUGUUUUGAUGCAGUUAAAGGUUGUAGAUAAUUCUCAGCUGGGGGGAAAUAAGACUGAACCUCCCCCAACCUCCCAGAAGUUACAGUAUUUUACAACUCAACUAAGUCACCAAUCAUAGCAGGUGCCUUAAAUGAUUGAAUAAAUUAGCUCCGUUUACUUUCUCCUAGUAAAUCAAUUCAAAACAGCUUGAUUUUGUACUGUUAGAAAAGUUGAUGUGUCUGGGGCCGGGCGCGGUGGCUCACGCCUGUAAUCCCAGCACUUCGGGAGGCCGAGG